rnacentral:rRNA from 1 species
UACGUAGGGGGCAAGCGUUGUCCGGAUUCAUUGGGCGUAAAGAGCGUGUAGGUGGCCAGGUAGGUCGGUUGUGAAAACUGGAGGCUCAACCUUCAGAGGUCGACCGAAACCAUCUGGCUAGAGUCCGGGAGAGGAGAGUGGAAUUCCUGGUGUAGCGGUGAAAUGCGCAGAUAUCAGGAAGAACACCCGUGGCGAAAGCGGCUCUCUGGAACGGUACUGACGCUGAGACGCGAAAGCGUGGGGAGCAAACAGG